rnacentral:misc_RNA from 1 species
GAUGAAGAACGCAGCGAAAUGCGAUAAGUAAUGUGAAUUGCAGAAUUCAGUGAAUCAUCGAAUCUUUGAACGCACAUUGCGCCCGCCAGUAGUCUGGCGGGCAUGCCUGUUCGAGCGUCAUUUCAACCAUCAAGCCCCAGGCUUGUGUUGGGGACCUGCGGCUGCCGCAGGCCCUGAAAACCAGUGGCGGGCUCGCUGUCACACCGGGCGUAGUAGAUUUUAUCUCGCUCAGGGCGUGCUGCGGGUUCCGGCCGUUAAAAAGCCUUUUUUACCCAAGGUUGACCUCGGAUCAGGUAGGAAGACCCGCUGAACUUAAGCAUAUCAAUAAGCGGAGGA